AUUGAACGCUGGCGGCAGGCCUAACACAUGCAAGUCGAGCGGAUGAAGGGAGCUUGCUCCUGGAUUCAGCGGCGGACGGGUGAGUAAUGCCUAGGAAUCUGCCUGGUAGUGGGGGAUAACGUCCGGAAACGGGCGCUAAUACCGCAUACGUCCUGAGGGAGAAAGUGGGGGAUCUUCGGACCUCACGCUAUCAGAUGAGCCUAGGUCGGAUUAGGUAGUUGGUGGGGUAAAGGCCUACCAAGGCGACGAUCCGUAACUGGUCUGAGAGGAUGAGCAGUCACACUGGAACUGAGACACGGUCCAGACUCCUACGGGAGGCAGCAGUGGGGAAUAUUGGACAAUGGGCGAAAGCCUGAUCCAGCCAUGCCGCGUGUGUGAAGAAGGUCUUCGGAUUGUAAAGCACUUUAAGUUGGGAGGAAGGGCAGUAAGUUAAUACCUUGCUGUUUUGACGUUACCAACAGAAUAAGCACCGGCUAACUUCGUG
rnacentral:rRNA from 1 species